rnacentral:rRNA from 1 species
UACGAAGGGGGCUAGCGUUGCUCGGAAUCACUGGGCGUAAAGGGUGCGUAGGCGGGUCUUUUAAGUCAGGGGUGAAAUCCUGGAGCUCAACUCCAGAACUGCCUUUGAUACUGAAGAUCUUGAGUUCGGGAGAGGUGAGUGGAACUGCGAGUGUAGAGGUGAAAUUCGUAGAUAUUCGCAAGAACACCAGUGGCGAAGGCGGCUCACUGGCCCGAUACUGACGCUGAGGCACGAAAGCGUGGGGAGCA